rnacentral:rRNA from 1 species
GACGGAGGGUGCUAGCGUUGUUCGGAAUCACUGGGCGUAAAGGGCGCGUAGGCGGCCUUGCAAGUCGGUUGGUGAAAGCCCGGGGCUCAACCCCGGAGGUGCGGCCGAGACUGCAGGGCUGGAGGCCGGAAGAGGAGGGUGGAAUACCCAGUGUAGAGGUGAAAUUCGUAGAUAUUGGGGAAGAACACCGGUGGCGAAGGCGGCCAUCUGGACGGGAUACUGACGCUGAGACGCGAAAGCGUGGGGAGCAAACAGG